rnacentral:snRNA from 10 species
AGCCUUGUGCAGUGGUAGUAUUGAAGCCAAUGAGGUUUAUCCGAGCUGCAAUUAUUCCUAAUUGAAAGAUACAUGGGCCCCUGUGUUUACUGCAGCGUGAUUCACAAUAGUAAAUUGUGCAAGCAGCCCAAGUAUCCAUCAUAGAUG